UACGUAGGGGGCAAGCGUUGUCCGGAUUUAUUGGGCGUAAAGAGCGUGUAGGCGGUUUGGUAGGUCCGUUGUGAAAACUCGAGGCUCAACCUCGAGACGCCGAUGGAAACCAUCAGACUAGAGUCCGGAAGAGGAGAGUGGAAUUCCUGGUGUAGCGGUGAAAUGCGCAGAUAUCAGGAGGAACACCGGUGGCGAAGGCGGGUCUCUGGGCCGAUACUGACGCUGGAGGAGCGAAAGCAUGGGGAGCGAACAGG
rnacentral:rRNA from 1 species